rnacentral:rRNA from 1 species
GACAGAGGGUGCAAACGUUGUUCGGAAUUACUGGGCGUAGCGUGUGUAGGCGGUCUCGCAAGUCGGAUGUGAAAGCCCCGGGCUCAACCCGGGAAGUGCACCCGAUACUGCAAGACUCGAGUACCGGAGAGGUUGGUGGAAUUCUCGGUGUAGAGGUGAAAUUCGUAGAUAUCGAGAGGAACACCGGUGGCGAAGGCGGCCAACUGGACGGAUACUGACGCUGAGACACGAAAGCGUGGGGAGCAAACAGG